GUGACAGCCGCCGCGGUAAUACGAAGGGGGCUAGCGUUGCUCGGAAUUACUGGGCGUAAAGGGCGCGUAGGCGGCUCUGUUGGUCGGGCGUGAAAUCCCUGGGCUCAACCCGGGGGCUGCGCCCGAAACGGCAGGGCUUGAGGACGGAAGAGGCUCGCGGAAUUCCCAGUGUAGAGGUGAAAUUCGUAGAUAUUGGGAAGAACACCGGUGGCGAAGGCGACUACCUGGCCUGUUUCUUGACGCUGAGGCGCGAAAGCUAGGGGAGCAAACGGGAUUAGAUACCCGUGUAGUCC
rnacentral:rRNA from 1 species